rnacentral:tRNA from 1 species
UUAAUGAGCUUGAAUAGCAAUUGUUUUGAAAACAAUAGAUAAAGAUUAAAUUUCUUUAUUAACUUUACUAAAAAU